CCCAUGAAUUAAUUUUCAAGAAUAAAGGUUCUGUAGUUCUCCAUAAGAACUUGAUUGCUCAGGAAGUUAGAGAUUGCUUUCCACGUGAAAGCUGGACAUGGACCACUAAUUAUAUUAAGAAUAGAGGUUCUGUAGUUCUCCAUGUGGACUUGAUUGCUCUGGA